ACUCCUACGGGAGGCAGCAGUGAGGAAUAUUGGUCAAUGGACGCAAGUCUGAACCAGCCAUGUCGCGUGCAGGAAGACUGCCCCUAUGGGUUGUAAACUGCUUUUUAUACGGGAAGAAAUAUAGCUACGUGUAGUUAUUUGCCGGUACCGUAUGAAUAAGCAUCGGCUAACUCCGUGCCAGCAGCCGCGGUAAUACGGAGGAUGCGAGCGUUAUCCGGAUUCAUUGGUUUAAAGGUGCGUAGGCGGAAGUAUAAGUCAGGGUGAAGUUUGUGGCUCAACCAUAAAAUUGCCUUUGAUACUGUAUUUCUUGAGUACAUUUGAGGUAGGCGGAAUGUGUUGUGUAGCGGUGAAAUGCUUAGAUAUAACACAGAACACCGAUUGCGAAGGCAGCUUACUAAACUGUAACUGACGCUGAUGCACGAAAGCGU
rnacentral:rRNA from 1 species